CAAUCCUGGCGACGAGCGGCGAACGGGUGAGUAAUGCUUCGGAAUCUGCCCAGUAGUGGGGAAUAACUAACCGAAAGGUUAGCUAAUGCCACAUACGACCUAUGGGUGAAAGCAGGGGAUCGUAAGACCUUGCGCUAUUGGAUGAGCCGAAGUCGGAUUAGCUAGUUGGUGAGGUAACGGCUCACCAAGGCGACAAUCCGUAGCUGGUCUGAGAGGACGACCAGCCACACUGGGACUGAGACACGGCCCAGACUCCUACGGGAGGCAGCAGUGGGGAAUAUUGGACAAUGGGGGCAACCCUGAUCCAGCGACGCCGCGUGUGUGAAGAAGGCCUGCGGGUUGUAAAGCACUUUUAGUGGGGAUGAAAAGCUCAGGGCUAAUACCCUUGGGUCUUGACCUAACCUACAGAAAAAGCACCGGCUAACUCUGUGCCAGCAGCCGCGGUAAU
rnacentral:rRNA from 1 species